AUGCUAACUGAUGGGCCCUUUCCAACAAUGCAGAGAGAAACAUUACAGAAAAAUAAUAACAAAAGGAAUAAAUACAUAAUGGAUACCAGGUAAUAACAUGGUUAUAUACAGGAAGUACCAGGUAAUAACAUGGUUAUAUACAGGAAGUACCAGGUAAUAACAUGGUUAUAUACAGGAAGUACCAGGUAAUAACAUGGUUAUAUACAGGAAGUACCAGGUAAUAACAUGGUUAUAUACAGGAAGUACCAGGUAAUAACAUGGUUAUAUACAGGAAGUACCAGGUAAUAACAUGGUUAUAUACAGGAAGUACCAGGUAAUAACAUGGUUAUAUACAGGAAGUACCAGGUAAU